rnacentral:rRNA from 1 species
UACGGAGGGUGCAAGCGUUAUCCGGAUUCACUGGGUUUAAAGGGUGCGUAGGUGGGCAGGUAAGUCAGUGGUGAAAUCCCCGAGCUUAACUUGGGAACUGCCAUUGAUACUAUUUGUCUUGAAUACUGUGGAGGUUAGCGGAAUAUGUCAUGUAGCGGUGAAAUGCUUAGAUAUGACAUAGAACACCGAUAGCGAAGGCAGCUUGCUACACAAUUAUUGACACUGAGGCUCGAAAGCGUGGGGAUCAAACAGG